UUGGAGCGUGCCUUGGCCUCGUAGUCGAUGACAGCCUCUUCUCGUCAACCCAUCCCAUUCCUCAUGGUGCGGGGGAACCUCCACCCAGUCGCCCCGAAGAAAUGCUCCGCGCGUGGGUCUGGCGCUGCGGUUCCAGUCCCUGUUCAGCUCGUUUGGUGGCGUAUUUCCUGAUGGGAUGGAGGAGAGGAGGGUAGGCGGAGGGGACCGUGGUACCGCCGCAAAGGUAGGCGAACCAGUGAGGUAAAUUCUCCGCAGCCUUAUGCUCGAUCUCUUUUGCUUCACGGUCGAUCCCUACGUGGGCGACAUACAUAUAUUACAUUUGCGAUCAGAUGGUGUUGUAUCUCGUAAGCUACCUGUAGAUUUCAUUACCUAGAAUAACAUGCGUAGCUGAAGAAAUAGUCGCUCGACUUUUGCAUCUAGGAUUUCAUCAAAUUCGUGCGUGAGUUCUCCUAUUUUUAUCUGGUUAGAGUAGCUCCUGAUUUUGCAACACAUAGUCGAGGGAAUAGCAGUAUCUAUACAUGCUUUGUUUUUUAUUUUGAGGAAAUUUCGAGGAAACUUGGAGCGCAGUGGACAUGAUUGCUGCUUUAGUGCAGGUGGAUGGACCAAGAGUAAUAAUCCUCAAAUAUUAUCAAAAUAACAAAUAUAUGUAAUUAUUCUUUUAUCACUUGAAUGAUUGUUACACAAGUUCCGUUCUUUUCCAUACGCGCACAAUUUCAAAUGUAUGCUGGAAAAUGUUUACCUCUUUUGGAAGUUCAAUUUUUCAACUGAUAGAGAGUAAAGGAUAAUCAAUACAAUAGGGAAAGCAGUGAUAGCUACAGCUACCAUGCUCAACCUGUCUUGAUGAAACCCAAAAUAGUCAUUCAAGAAAACAGCAAUAGUUUUGGUUUCUCCAAAUACUUUGACUUCUUUAUUUAUGUUUCCAUACUGGGAGGUCAAUAGCGAAUUGAGUAUCCAAGAUGUAGGGGUAAGGUAAUAGAGCCAGAUCCACCACUUUGGGAAUUGCUGUAAAGAAAUAUUUAACUGAAUGUUAAUGCCUUCCUCAUACAGAACAUAAAGUAACACCUGACUGAGAAAAAAAUGUUUUCAUCUAUAAAUUCAAGUAGUUUUUUUUCAUAUUUGGUGUAUAAUCUUCACGUGAAAUGAAUUAGAAAAAAUAGUUUACAAAGGAUAAUAUCUGUCUUCUGCUGGGGAUACAUUUGAGCAUUGCAAAAGAUAAUCACUCAGAUGUAUCUUACAUUCAUUCUGAUUUUCUUAGUGUAUAUUAGUUGCUGCUAAAUUAUUACUGAAUGUGUUGAUGUUUCCUGAAUACAAUAUUAUUGGUAGGCUAGAACUUUCAAAGUUACUACAACUCCUUAGUAAAUUAGGAAGGAUGUGUUAAAAGGUAUAGCAAUCAUUGACCUUGUAGAACUCAAUUAGAAUAUUCACAAGAUAUGAUUAACUUUUAACAUUGUGAAUGUCUGCUCAGAGCAAUAGUUAUAGAGUGGUAUCAUACAUGUUUCUUGUUGGGACAUCUAAUUUGAAUUCAAGAUUGAUGUUUACAUGCCAAAUGUUGGAGAAUUGGUACUAUGAAUAUCAUAUUUUAUUACAAUGAUAAACCACUAAUUCAAAGUGCUACUAAUUGUGUGUUAGGUUGGCAAAUGCAUUUCCUAUAAUCAUGAUACUAGUGGAGUAUAACUUCUUCAGUAUGUUUCAUCGCUCCAUUCACAUAGUUAAGCUUAAAUAAUUUUGAUAACUAAUUUUUUCCUAGCUAUCUAGAUUAGCAAUAUUAAGAUGAUGUCAAUAGGUUUACAAUAAAAAUAUUGCUAUAUAUUAUCUUGGGGCACAAAAACAUUUUAUUUUGGACAUUAACGAUAUCUCUAAAAUUCAAGUUUCACUAUUGUAAUAUAUUUGUAUUAAUACAUAUGCAUGCACUUUUGUAGACAAAUAUGCACAUAAGAUUUGACAUGUACAGAUUGGAGGUAAUAAUUGCUCUAUAUAAACUGCAGGACCAUGUGAGUUUGAAAUAGGGUUUGCAUGUCUAGAAGAUCUCUUCUAGGAUCAUUAGAAUCACAACAAAUGCAUGUUCCACUUGAUAUGUAGUAUGUCCAUCUUAGCUUUAUGUGAGAACAUAGUUAUCAAACUUGCACUUCUAUGAUCAUAUUUCCCUAAAUGUUUAAAUUUUAAAAAUAUAAGCUAUAUUAUCACAUUUGUAAUAAGCAGAGAUCCAGACUUACAGGUGCAGGUAAAAUAAAUCCUGAAAAUAGUGUCUGUAGUGUGUUGAAAAAUGAUCCCAAUAUGGUGGCUACUUGCACAUUUGGGGUUACUGAAACAAGCAGCAAUCCAACAUAAAGGAAGGAAAGAAUUGAGCAAAAGGUAGUGUAGAGGAACCAUAGGAGUUUGUAUGCUGUCCAAUAAUAGCCAAUUGUUGGGUAGACGAUGAUUGUAUAGAGUAAUGCUUGGAUAAAGGCAUAGGGAAUCUCUAUUACAGCCUGUAGAAGGUAAAGAAAUUUGAUUAGUUCUUGCAUGAUAGAGUUUUCUAUGCUUAGAAAUGUGUGGUCAUUAUUCGACUUCUGACCUGUGCAAAUGAAUAUGCCCAGGAAGAGUACAUUCCUGCAAAUUUCUCACGAUACAUUACAAUGCGCUCCAUUGUACUAAAUGGUAUAAUUGACUGGUCAUUGUAAACGCCAAGUUGUAUAACCCCCAGAUACAUUGCACCAAGAACAUUGAAUAGAUCCUGCUCAUUAUUUCUUGAACGGAACAAGGAGACAUUAACAGUUAGCCUAUUGAAUCUGUGACAUACCUUUAUGAUCUGUUAAUCAUAUUCAAAAUUGCUCAACAGCAUAGGACCAUGGUCGUAUCCCCUAUUAUGUAAAAACUGAAAAAACGAAAGUGGGAUGUGGACUUACAAUAUCUUUGCAUGCCUCCAGUACAAUACUAUGAAGGUCAAUGCUAUCACUAAUGUCAUCACCAUACGAUUCAGAUUAUAUUGAGGGCUUCUCCAGUAGGUUAUAUUCUGUUUCCAUAAGCAAGCUUUAAAUUGCCUCCAUCGAUUCUGUGGGAAACGAUAGGAGAAACAUAGGUUUUCUGAAUUCGGUAGUGGGUUACUUAGUUGCUCAACAAGCUCUUGCCUAUCCCUGCAUGGAAAAAUAUUAUUAUCCUUUUUGUAAGUUCACAUGAGAUAUUUUGUUGAUAUAAUCUUUUACAGUAUCUAGGUUAUUUUAGGCAUAUAUUUGUUCCUUGUUGAUUAUCAAAUGCGAUCAUACCUGUGCAGUGGCGAUUCUUUGUAGGCACUUGCGAAGUCUAUGCCGAGUUGAAACUCCAUGGAUACUGAUGUUACAUCCAUUAUCCAAGUAGCAGGGUUGCGAUUUCUCUCUAUUUUGGGGACACCGGAAAUUUUCUAUUGGCACAAGGAAGUAGACCACUCCAUUAAUUCCUUCUGUUACCGGGAAUUGAACCUCACUCAGUUGGUGUUAUGUGUGUAUGUUUAAUUUGCACACCCCCACCAUCCAGUUUAAGGCCUCUUCACAAAUUUGGGUAUGUAUUUUCAUAAUUAUUAGUUUGACCGACUUUCCAUAGUAAUAUGAUGUGCAAGGACACAUUCGGAUAUAACACGUGUUGUCAUGAAUCACGGUUUGUCUAAAAACACUAGCACGACACUACUAUCCACAAAUGCACAUUUGCGACAAAAAUUACCAUGCUAUUAAUUACAUAUCACUACGCCCCAAUGACAUACUGAUAUAAAACAUUUAGUUAUCAAUUUUAACAUGCAAAAUGCAGGGCUGGAAGCACAAAAAUUGCUAUAGUUCUGCUUUUCUUGUGAGCUGUGAGCCAAGUUACAUAGUGAAUACAAACGACUUCAAAUAUGCCAAAUUUGUAGGAUUACUGUUAUGUGAAAUGAAAAGCCACCGGAAACUGGUGUCAUUGUUGUUGUUGUCUGGGUACCCAUUUUUGUCCAUUUUUUCAAAAACCACUUAGAAAAGUUUUUUUAUAUGCAAUUGCAUAUAAUCAAGAAUCCUGGAGUCACUCUGCAAAUCCGUUAUUUUAUUUGAAUUGGAAAAAGAUAAAAAUGAAGGAUAGUUAAGAAUCAACACACUACAAGGAAUCAUUUGGAGAAAUAUUAACCUCAAAGUACUCAAUCACUUUGCAAGAUUGCUCUCCUAUUGGGCCACUGUAGAUUAUUUUCCCGCCAUUUUUCAUUAAUAUAAGCUGCACAAAAAUAUUUAAACAAUUCAAUAAGGAAAAUUUUUUCUAGCAGCCAUGUAAAGAAAAAUCUUCUUGUAGUGGAAAUAGAAAUUGGAAAUAAGCACUACCAAGCAUUUCUCUUUACAUGCAUUUUGAUGCUUUAAGAAAUGAGAAAAUAAGAUUGAGAAGUUGACACAUUAUUUUAUCUAUACCACUUAUAUUUCUUUUAUGACUGUUGUUUUUUUGACCAUUUUCGUUUCAGUGUUGCGAUGUUGCCAUGAACAUUUUCCGUGCAUGUGCAAGUUUAAUCAGCUGCCUAUUAGCUUAUACAAUCAAGUUUAACUAGUCCAGAAGUCAAUUGUCUGCUAUAUAAUUUCUUAUGUAGCUAAAUGUUAUCAUUUUCCUGCACGUGUGACAUAUUCACUAACACUCUAUGCAUUGCCUUUCAUGAUGUAAGGUUGAGCUUAUGAAAAGAAGUAUUGCAUGAUAAUCAAUGUAGUUUAUUAAAGUAGUCCAUUUGAGAUUUGGCAAUAUGGAACGAUGCAACUGAUAAGUGCAAGAUGAUAUACAAUUUGUAAGAAUUUGUUUGUACAAAAUCGAUAAACUUAGAAAAAUAUUAUUUACUCUACAACAUUGUAAUAAAGCUUUAUUUUUUUUAAUUGCAUAAACCUCUUUGUUUGUACAAAAUCGAUGAACUUAGAAAAAUAGUAUUCACUCUACAACAUUGUAAUAAAGCUUUAUUUUUGUUUAAUUGCAUAAACCUCUUCAGUAGUUGCAUACAGCUUAAGCAUUGACCGGUAGGGUGCGCAUAACACUUACCAUUUUCUAAAACAUUGAAUUGAAUAAAUGGAGAUGAGGUGAAGUCGUCGCUAAAUAAACCAUGGUGCAUGGCUCAAGUGACUAACAAAUUUUCUCUAGAUUAUAUGGUAAAUUUUAGCUUAUUUGGUAGCUAAAAAUAAAUGUAUCUUGGUGCUAAUGCACCAGGGAAACUAAAUGUGGCAUUGCCCCUGGAGACAAUAUAUGCUAUAUGAAAGGUGAAGUGUUCCUUUGAAAAACUAGAUAUCGAUAGUUCCUGAUAUUAUCAUGAGGGCUCAUUUUUUCUUAUACAAAUUAUUAGCUGUAAAUUGGAUUGAUGUAGAUCAUUUGAAAGUUUGGAAUAUUUUGCAAAAAGUAAAAUACCUCGUCAAAUGCCUCAAAAAUUUCAGUGCUAGGCUGAUGGAUUGUACAUACAACUGUCCUUCCUGUUUCAGAAAUAUUUUUCACCGCACGUAUGACAAUGGCUGCUGAUCUAGCAUCUAAUCCUGUUGUUGGUUCAUCCAUUAAUAUGACUGAUGGGUUUGAAACUAGUUCGAUUGCAACUGUUAACCUUUUCCUCUGCUCCAAGGAUAAUCCAUUUAUUCCUGGCCUCCCGACUAAAGCGUCUUUUAUGUCAUCUAACUCAACAAUUUUGAGUACUUCAUCCACAAAUUCCUGCAUGUUACAUGCAAAAUGAAAAGAAUGUAAAUUACUCAUGAAACCUUCUGUUAUUUUCCACUCCCCUAUCUAUACGGCAAUAUCAAAUUGCAUUGUUAUCAAAAGCUUUAAUAUGUUGUGUGAUGUUCUAGGGGACGUACGUAUCUUGUUUUUUCAUCAACCUGUGCAGGCAAGCGAAGCCAAGCUGAAUAAGCUACAGAUUCUUCAACUGUAAGCUGUGGAGAAUGUAUGUCAACUUGCUCACAAUAACCUAAUAUUCUGACAAAUGUUUCUUGCACCUUGGUAUGCCCGCCUAUUCUUAUGUCUCCUUCAGUAUAACCUCCAGUUUUCCUUCCUGCCAAUACAUCUAGUAGAGUUGUCUUCCCAGCUCCACUAACACCCAUUAAUGCAGAAAGAACACCAGGACGGAAUGCACCGGUGACACUGUUUAAUAGUUGAAUUCUUUUUUCUAAGUGGCCAUGUUUCAGCAUUCCCUACAACAAGGGUACAAUUUUUAUACUCCUUCAAGUAAAAAGUAGGCAAGCACUAAAGAAACAAUGGAACAUUUGAAGGUGAGUCUUUCCAAAUUUACCGAUGGUGUGUCAACAUAGUAGUUGAGAUUGCGGAACGUAAGUGCAAGUUGCAUAGUAGGCAUAGCCAGCUUUGCUGCAAGAAGAUGAAAUUGUAGGUGAUUACGUAUUAGAAUGGAUUUUGGUUUUGAGAGAAAACUCUACUAGUCUCAUAUUUUUGUUGAGAAGUUUUUGCAUAUUUUUAUUGUACUAUGGUAUCUUAGUAAUAUCAAUGUAGUCAUUUCAGUAGACUCUCGCCUACUAUGCUAUUGAGGAGGGAGGAGAAGCAGGAUGGUGGUUGAUGGGAUUACCUUCUUGGGUCAUGUUUGCAUGAUUAGUGGAUUCUUUUUGGAUAUUGAUCUCUUCUUCCUGCACUUUAGCAAAGAACUUCCUAGGAAUGCUUCCAUGAUACGCUUCUAUAGCUGAAACAAGUAGAAGCAUGAUUUCUUUUUAAAACAAAUAAAAAUUAUGGCGGUAUCCUUUACACUUUCUGUAGUGAACUUACGCCUUCUAUAAGCUAGUGCUAGUCCAAAAGCUAUGUAAAACAAAAUGAUGAAUCCAAUAAGGGCUCCAACAGAUAUCCAAUAAAAGUGCCAACUGUAGUAGAGGCCAUGGUUAAUCAAAAUUUGGUUCCCUAUUGUUUUAUUUUGCAUAGUUUCCUGAAAAAAAAAUAAUGAGAAUGUUGAAUGCUUGGUAGCAGCAAAUUCAUCACAUUUUUUUAUCUGAGAAGAUAUUUCACCAUUUGCCAUCUUGGUGCAAGGAAUUCAUUUAAGGCUGUGCUGAUUUCUGCAUAGGUCAAUGGAGACAUCCAAAAUCCCCAGCUUAACCAUCCUGGCAUAGAGGCUGGGACACAACGGUAGCAUAUAAAAUAAGUGCUAAAUGAUAUAUAUGCUUUGUAAAUAUACUUUUCAAUGAUGAUAUUUGUCUUACGUUUGGGAAGAAUGAAGCCUCCAAACGCUAGGAAGAAUGUUAGGGAUACAAAUGUGUAGAAGAAACAUAUAAUAUGUGUUUGGAAAUGAGCAGCAAUAAAUCGGUACAAUGAUGUUAAUGAUUGAUGGAGAAGAGAAAAUAUCAGAAACUGGCAGAAGAACCUGGCAGUGGCUUGAAAGAAAGAGUUUUGCAGUUAGUCAAAUUCCAAAUUAGUUCAUAUGAAUGCAAAUUUGAGAUUUUUUUUUCAUAAAGAUUUACCUGGAAGUUGUAGAUGUGUAACCAAUACCAUAAUAAGUGAUGCAUAUCCAUACAAAUGAGUCUAGUAAGGAGAUAGGGACCUUCAUGAUCGAUGCAGGUAUUGCAUAUGCCCACGAAGGAUAAAAAUGAUAGUUUUUUUGCUUAUAGAAACUUGGCAGUCUAGCAAUCUGCAUGCUCAUCUCUGGUAUGCCAUUUAGAAUAAUGAUAAUGAUGGAAUAAUAUAAUGCUCCCAUGUAGUAAUUAGCAUGUGUUAAAUCUGUUGUCAUAUGACUUCGAAAGAAUACAAACAUUGUAAUGAUUGCAAUAGUGGAGAGCUGCAUAAAUGAGUAAAAUUAGUUUAUAUUCAUGUAAUUGAACAAAGAGACUAUGGCUAUUGCAUUUUGUACAAAUAACUUUUGUGAUUAGUAUAACCUGCAUAGUUUUGAAUGCAUAAACAGACAUACUCCUUUUGAUCAAGAGUGCUUCCCUUGCUCCACAUGCUUUGAACAGUUCUAAUUUUGGUAGUGAAUACUUAUUGAAUGAUAAAGAUUUCUUGCCCAACUCGUUUUUCUGAGGUAUAGAGGGCUUUUCUAAUUUUCUCCGUUUCUGAUAUCUUCUAAACAUGCUCGAUAAUUGAUGAGAAGAAAUGUAUCUGUAAGAUUCAUCUGUACCAGACCAGUACUGCCUUUGGUCCUUUAUGGACAAUACCUAAGGAUUCACAAAUUAGGGAAAAUAUAUCAUAAACCUUUGAAUAUAUUGUUUUAUCUUUUCAUAUGAUUUUUAUGAUUUAUAAUUUGAUACCUCUUGGAGAAAGUCCGCCAUCCCUUUUCUCUCUGGGCAUCUGAAGCCACAUUCCUCAAAAAAAAUGUGAGCUUCGUUUCGAGGGCCAUGAUAGAUAAUCUUUCCUUCUGCCAUUAGGAUUAGGUCAUCAAAUAGAUCAAAUACCUCAGGUGUUGGUUGAAGAAGUGAAAUAAGCAUGGUGCAUUCAUUGAUGUUUGCUAGUUGUUGAAAGCACUUGAUUAUUUGGAAAGUAGUAGAGCUAUCCAAACCAUUGGAUAUUUCAUCCAUGAAAAAAGCUUUUACUGGUCCAACGAUCAUCUCCGCUGGUUUAGACAGGUGAAAUAAUAUUAAGUGAAUGUUUUGCAAACAUGCAAAAUCUUUGCGUGGCAAUCUUAUAGAAGAGAUAAUAUUAAGUCAUAAUUAAUAGUUUAUAUUGGCUAACCAUAUUUGCUUUAACUACCUGUUGUUAGUCUUUUCUUCUGACCCCCUGAUAUUCCUCUUCUCAUUGCAUCCCCAACCAUAGUGUCUGCACAUAUGUCUAGCCCCAUGAUCUAUAAAAAAAUAAUUAGUAUUAUGAGCUUUUCUUUAAAGCUUAAGCAUACAAUUGUUCUUCCUUGAGCACUAUUUCAGCAACGUACUCCUAAACUUGUAAGUUUCAGUGAUACGUACUUUCAAAAUGUAGCCUGUUUGUAGGCUUUUCUCUGAAGUUGCAACUGCGGUCGCCUACAUGAUGCAAAUUAGUUUUUGAAUUUUUUGAGACAUAAUUUCAAAACUAAAGAAUAGAAUAGGGAUUGUUUUAAUCAUAACUACAUAUAUAAGACAUAGAUUUUUCCUUUUCACCAACAUUGGCACUGCCCUGUUUCUUUCAUGACAUGUGUACGUGUUCUCAGUAAAACAGAUAAGAUGUUGUUCGCUAUUUUCUAAAAGGAGACUCUUAUAUUACCUUCAUGUACAGAUUGAUGUCAUGAUCGGGUAUUAUCCCGGCCACCUUCUCCCUUUUGCUCACUUCCUCAAGUAUUUCUUUGGACAAACAAAAACAUAAUAUUGUUAUUACUUUGGAACUUGUUUUGUAUAAUGAUAAAUAUUUGUGCAGAAGGAAUUACCAGCUCUACUUCCAACACCUUGGCACUUGACGGAGAAGUCUAAAGUUUCCCUUACUGUUAUAUCAGGAAAUGGAGGUUGUCAUCCUCGACGCGCUUGAGAAGAUUGUCGAAGAACUCUCGCCUCUUGAGAGCGCCCACCUUGCCGCCAUCGAGCAGUAACAUGUCCUCGCCUGCUGCUUCUUGGCGGGCAUCUGCUGGAGCUCCGUUCCUGUAAUCCCCUGCCGCCAUUUCCAGCUCCAUCUCCUUGGAGUUGGGGACGUGCUCAUUGGCAGCCAAAGCUGAAGUUGGAAGCUGGGAGGACGACAGACUCGUCUCACUUCCAGGAAACUCCAUCUCGAGGUUGAUCACUUCCUCACUCUUUUCUAUCGCCUCUCGAGGCCCUGGAUCCGUCCUAGUGGAACUGUGGAAGCAUCAUGCAGUUCUCCGAAGAGACGCUGGGACUAGCUUUGCAUCACGUCCCUUUAUAGGGCUUGCAUUGGCAUACUUAAAUAAAACUAGGAUCAAAGUAGUAUCUGACUUGUUGAGUCAGACGAAUUGUUUAGCUUUCAAAUAGAGUGGACUUGAAUGUUACGGCA